AUACGUUAGUGGUCUAGUGGUAGAAUAGUACCCUGCCAUGGUACAGACCCGGGUUCGAUUCCCGGCUGGUUCAGUAAUAUAGCUGUGAUGAUAUUUGUUCUAUAUGUGAUGACUGGGGUCUAUCACCAAUGUCUUCUACAUGAAUAAUAGUGCACCUGAUCUC